UUCUGAACACCGCAUGACAUCAUCUUCAACCAACAUCCACAUAAGCAAUAAAAGUUUAUGGCUAAAGUAUCACAUGAAAACUAAUUUCUUAUGUGAUUUACCCUUUAAACCACUAAUUGAUAUUUGUUAGACUUUUAAUCUUAACAAGGCAUUGGUAUGUAAAGUGAAUAACUUGAUAGAUUGCUAAAGAAGAAGUCAAUUGUUCAUGAAAGCCUUUGAAAUAAUCAAAUUAUCUAUUGAGAUAUAGUACUCACCUUGAUACUUGCCUUUGCAUGGUAUCCCUCCCCUCCACACUUGCAUUAGAGUAUAUAUCCUAAAUCCAUCCUUAAUAGGGGAUGCCUCCUUUACAAACUCACAACCCAAAAUUUGCUUGUCAAACAAGCCUUUCAUAGUUUUGUUUCUCACACAAAUAAUUGUGGUGCAAGUUCUCCUUUUAUAGGCCAUUUGAACACAAAUUAGGGCACCAUUCUUGUCACUUAAAAUGACAAUUUUGCCCCUCUUUUUAAGAUAAAUCCUAUUUUUGAGGGUGACAAUUAAGUGGGCUUUUUGACUUUAAAUAGGGCAUUAAGCGAUCAAAUUCUCUUCUCUAGCUAUGAAGUCUUUCGUCUCCUCAUCUCUCUCUCUCAAUGUAUAGGAUCCAUUCUCUCCCUCUUUUUAUGGAUCCUACGAACCACACUCCUCCUAUCAUGAAAUCGGAUUGAAGAAUUUUGGUUUAAGGAAAUAAUGCAAAAAAUGAGAAUUUGAGCUUAAAACGCACUAAUGAGCGUAAUUGGACUGCGAUUAUUAAAGGCUCGAGAAUCAGACACGUGGGCUAUUAAUAGUUUAGGCCUAGCUUAAUUCAUUAAGGCUCAAAAAGGAGAGUUUAACUAAUUAUUAUGUAAUUAGUGGAUAAUUAUCAUUUGAGUUGUUUAGUUUGUUUAAGAUAAUAAGGGAUAAACUAUAGGAGUUGUGUGUGGAGAAAAGAACUCUAGAGAAGAGAAAGGAAUCUCUACAAGGAGUAGAGGUGAAUUAGAAUAUGUGUGCUUCGGCUACUGAAUCUCUGGAGAAAAAGGGUCCUAUUAUUCUCUGCAGAAAAAUCCGGAGUUCAUCAUCUUUGACAUCUUACUAGCUUGUGUUGCAUUAUUCUUUGAAGAAUCAGAGAAGCUUUUCGAAGACAUGGAGAAAGGGGACCAAUCUUCUUCAUUCCUUGAAAAGCCUUUGAACUUUGAGGGAGUUUUAGUUUUCUAUUUUAUGAAUCUUAAGUCUUUCUAUUUAAUUACAAUGAUCAUUGGAUUAAGUAUGUUA